rnacentral:rRNA from 1 species
CAUUACCUAGAGUUGUAGGCUUUGCCUGCUAUCUCUUACCCAUGUCUUUUGAGUACCUUCGUUUCCUCGGCGGGUUCGCCCGCCGAUUGGACAAUUUAAACCAUUUGCAGUUGCAAUCAGCGUCUGAAAAAACAUAAUAGUUACAACUUUCAACAACGGAUCUCUUGGUUCUGGCAUCGAUGAAGAACGCAGCGAAAUGCGAUAAGUAGUGUGAAUUGCAGAAUUCAGUGAAUCAUCGAAUCUUUGAACGCACAUUGCGCCCCUUGGUAUUCCAUGGGGCAUGCCUGUUCGAGCGUCAUUUGUACCUUCAAGCUCUGCUUGGUGUUGGGUGUUUGUCUCGCCUCUGCGUGUAGACUCGCCUCAAAACAAUUGGCAGCCGGCGUAUUGAUUUCGGAGCGCAGUACAUCUCGCGCUUUGCACUCAGAACGACGACGUCCAAAAGUACAUUUUUACACUCUUGACCUCGGAUCAGGUAGGGAUACCCGCUGAACUUAAGCAUAUCAAUAA